rnacentral:rRNA from 1 species
AGUGAACGCUGGCGGCGUGCCUAAUACAUGCAAGUCGAACGCGAAAGUCCUUCGGGAUGAGUAAAGUGGCGCACGGGUGAGUAAUGCAUGAGAACAUGCCCUUAGAUGGGGAAUAACGUUUGGAAACGAACGCUAAUACCGCAUAAUCUCGAGAGAGUAAAGGUGGCGCCGCAAGGGCUACCGUCUAAGGAUUGGCUCAUGUCCCAUUAGCUAGUUGGCGGGGUAAUGGCCCACCAAGGCAACGAUGGGUAUGUGGUCUGAGAGGAUGAUCACACACACUGGAACUGAGACACGGUCCAGACUCCUACGGGAGGCAGCAGUAGGGAAUAUUGCACAAUGGGGGAAACCCUGAUGCAGUAACGCCGCGUGAGUGAAGAAGGCCCUUGGGUCGUAAAGCUCUUUAGCGAGGGAAGAGGGUAGAUACGGUGAAUAAUCGUGUUUGCUGACGGUACCUCGAGAAUAAGCACCGGCUAAUUUCGUGCCAGCAGCCGCAGUAA